AGUGAACGCUGGCGGUAGGCCUAACACAUGCAAGUCGAACGGCAGCACAGUAAGAGCUUGCUCUUACGGGUGGCGAGUAGCGGACGGGUGAGGAAUACAUCGGAAUCUACUUUCUCGUGGGGGAUAACGUAGGGAAACUUACGCUAAUACCGCAUACGACCUACGGGUGAAAGCAGGGGAUCUUCGGACCUUGCGCGAUUGAAUGAGCCGAUGUCGGAUUAGCUAGUUGGCGGGGUAAAGGCCCACCAAGGCGACGAUCCGUAGCUGGUCUGAGAGGAUGAUCAGCCACACUGGAACUGAGACACGGUCCAGACUCCUACGGGAGGCAGCAGUGGGGAAUAUUGGACAAUGGGCGCAAGCCUGAUCCAGCCAUACCGCGUGGGUGAAGAAGGCCUUCGGGUUGUAAAGCCCUUUUGUUGGGAAAGAAAAGCAGCAGGUUAAUACCCCGCUGUUCUGACGGUACCCAAAGAAUAAGCACCGGCUAACUUCGUG
rnacentral:rRNA from 1 species